GACGAACCGUGCGAACGUUAUUCGGAAUCACUGGGCUUAAAGCGCGUGUAGGCGGGUCGGGACGUCGGUCGCUGAAAUCCCCCGGCUCAACCGGGGAAGGGGCGCCGAUACGGCCGGCCUCGAGGGACGUAGGGGGGGCUGGAACUUCCGGUGGAGCGGUGAAAUGCGUUGAGAUCGGAAGGAACGCCCGUGGCGAAAGCGAGCCCCUGGACGUCUACUGACGCUGAGGCGCGAAAGCUAGGGGAGCAAACAGG
rnacentral:rRNA from 1 species